rnacentral:rRNA from 1 species
CCCUUAGAUGUUCUGGGCCGCACGCGCGCUACACUGAUGCAUUCAACGAGCCUAUCCUUGACCGACAGGUCCGGGUAAUCUUUGAAUCUGCAUCGUGACGGGGAUAGAUUAUUGUAAUUAUUAAUCUUCAACGAGGAAUGCCUAGUAGGCGCAAGUCAUCAGCUUGCGUCGAUUACGUCCCUGCCCUUUGUACACACCGCCCGUCGCUCCUACCGAUUGGGUGUGCUGGUGAAAUGUUCGGAUCGGCCGUUUGUCGCGGUUUCCGCGGCUCGUGGCUGAGAAGUUCAUUAAACCCUCCCACCUAGAGGAAGGAGAAGUCGUAACA